GUGAUGACUUCAACAGCACAUAUAUUAAAAACUAGAUCAAUGCAAAGAAAUUUAGCAUAGCCCCUGAGCAGGGAAGACAUAAAAUUGUGAUACAAUCCAUAAUUUU